rnacentral:rRNA from 1 species
GACGAACGCUGGCGGCGUGCUUAACACAUGCAAGUCGAACGGAAAGGCCCUGCUUUUGUGGGGUGCUCGAGUGGCGAACGGGUGAGUAACACGUGAGUAACCUGCCCUUGACUUUGGGAUAACUUCAGGAAACUGGGGCUAAUACCGGAUAGGAGCUCCUGCUGCAUGGUGGGGGUUGGAAAGUUUCGGCGGUUGGGGAUGGACUCGCGGCUUAUCAGCUUGUUGGUGGGGUAGUGGCUUACCAAGGCUUUGACGGGUAGCCGGCCUGAGAGGGUGACCGGCCACAUUGGGACUGAGAUACGGCCCAGACUCAUACGGGAGGCAGCAGUGGGGAAUAUUGCACAAUGGGCGGAAGCCUGAUGCAGCAACGCCGCGUGCGGGAUGACGGCCUUCGGGUUGUAAACCGCUUUCGCCUGUGACGAAGCGUGAGUGACGGCAAUGGGUAAAGAAGCACCGGCUAACUACGUG